rnacentral:rRNA from 1 species
CCUACGGGGGGGCAGCAGUGGGGAAUAUUGGACAAUGGGGGCAACCCUGAUCCAGCCAUGCCGCGUGUGUGAAGAAGGCCCUCGGGUUGUAAAGCACUUUCAGUGAGGAAGAACGCCUGGUGGUUAAUACCCAUCAGGAAAGACAUCACUCACAGAAGAAGCACCGGCUAACUCCGUGCCAGCAGCCGCGGUAAUACGGAGGGUGCGAGCGUUAAUCGGAAUUACUGGGUGUAAAGCGCGCGUAGGUGGCUUGAUAAGCCGGUUGUGAAAGCCCCGGGCUCAACCUGGGAACGGCAUCCGGAACUGUCAAGCUAGAGUGCAGGAGAGGAAGGUAGAAUUCCCGGUGUAGCGGUGAAAUGCGUAGAGAUCGGGAGGAAUACCAGUGGCGAAGGCGGCCUUCUGGACUGACACUGACACUGAGGUGCGAAAGCGUGGGUAGCAAACAGGAUUAGAUACCCCUGUAGUC